UGCCUGUUUUACAAAAACAUGGCUCUUUGAUAUAAAGUACAAAGAGUUUGGCCUACCCUGUGAUUUAGGUUUAACGGUUGCGACGAGAGUUGUACUAAGGUAGCGUGAUAAGUUGUUUCUUAAUUAGGAAAUGGAAUGAAUGGUUUGAGUGUGGAAUAGCUGUCUUUAUAAAAUGUUAUGAACUUUCCUUUUAAGUGAAAAGGCUUAAUUGUUUGUAAAAGACGAGAAGACCCUGUCGAGUUUUAUUAAGGUUUAUAAAAGUUUGUGAUCUUAAAUUUUGUUGGGGCAAUAAAAACCAAAAUAACGGUUUAUUUUUAUUUAGAUCCUUUAGAAAGAAUAAAGCAAAAACUACCGCAGGGAUAACAGCGUUAUCCUUUUUAAGAGGUCUAAUUGAGAAAAGGGUUUGCGACCUCGAUGUUGGAUUAAAAAAACUGUAUGGUGUAGCAGCUAUAAGUAGUGAGACUGUCGUCUUUUU
rnacentral:rRNA from 1 species